UACGUAGGGUGCGAGCGUUGUCCGGAAUUAUUGGGCGUAAAGGGCUCGUAGGCGGUUUGUCGCGUCGGGAGUGAAAACCAGGUGCUUAACACCUGGCUUGCUUUCGAUACGGGCAGACUAGAGGUAUUCAGGGGAGAACGGAAUUCCUGGUGUAGCGGUGAAAUUUGCAGAUAUCAGGAGGAACACCGGUGGCGAAGGCGGUUCUCUGGGAAUGACCUGACGCUGAGGAGCGAAAGUGUGGGGAGCGAACAGG
rnacentral:rRNA from 1 species